rnacentral:sRNA from 1 species
UCAACAGUAUACCCUUUCUUUGUUAUGGC